rnacentral:tRNA from 1 species
GGGGCGUUAGCUCAGUCGGUAGAGCAGGUCCCUUUUAAGGACAAGGUCGCAGGUUCGAUCCCUGCACGCCCCA